rnacentral:rRNA from 1 species
UACGUAGGGGGCAAGCGUUGUCCGGAUUUAUUGGGCGUAAAGAGCGUGUAGGCGGCCAGGUAGGUCAGCUGUGAAAACUCGAGGCUCAACCUCGAGAUGUCGGCUGAAACCAUCUGGCUAGAGUCCGGAAGAGGAGAAUGGAAUUCCCGGUGUAGCGGUGAAAUGCGCAGAUAUCGGGAGGAACACCAAUUGCGAAGGCAGCUCGCUGGGACGUUACUGACGCUGAGACGCGAAAGCGUGGGGAGCAAACAGG